rnacentral:lncRNA from 1 species
UUAAUAGUGACGGCUCUUUGGGCCGUACACUGGGUUGCCCCCCUCUGGCAGAGGCCUCCGCAUUAUAGAAGGUGGACCUCAGCACUGUGGCCCACACACUGGCUAGCACCAUCCUAGACGUGACCAGGGAAACUGUGUCCAUGACGCAUAUGUUAGUUACCACGGACGGUAAUGAAUCCACGUGUGCGUGUGUCUGUGAGUGCAGAAGAACCUGCACUGGGUAAGUGCACACUGCUAGAAUUUUACAGAAGAGUCAGGCCAUCAUCAGCCACCUGGAAAGCAAAAAAAAACAUUGCCACAAAUACAAACUGCCAGUAAUGAAUAAUUGAGUUUCCUAUCUUACCUUAUCCAAACUAGCAUCAUUCCAUAUUAAAUGUCAUGGUAUCAAGAUUUUGGGAUCCUAGCAGGCACUUCACGUAUGUGCACCAAAGGAUGUAAAGAGCUUUCCUCGGAGGUCCAGGACGAGGGGGAAAGGGGAGUGAAGUGUCUUGUAACACUGGGUUGAUCUUUUUAAGCAUUCAGCCCACCGAAACCAUCACCCUGGAAGGACUGGUAAUUGGGCAGCAUGUCCGUAUGCAGAGGCACCUCUGGGCUUCAGAAGCGAAGCCUGUACCUCCAGGAGGGAACUUUGCAGAACUUCCCACGCUUAUCAGUCAUCGCACUCCUCCCAUUUGGUGCAGAUUCAGAGCUCCCCAUGGUCCCCUAGUUCUGAGAUACCCGGCUCAACUUAGACGGGGCAUCUCCUGGACCCAUGAUUCAUAGUCAGUGUCCCCGGAGGAGAAGCCCAACAAAGGCAGAAUUUCCACGUUCCCGAUAAAAGGGGCCACAUCCCCUCUGGGCAGCAGCCUCCUGGGGAGACCCCGAGAAACAAGCAGCUGUGGGUGAUUUAAAAUUUCUCGCUGCUCGGUCAGAGAUGUGAACACAAAUGUCCAUUAUCCGGAGGAUAGAUUGCUCCUUUGCAGAUGCCCAAAGAAUUUUCCAUCUGGCAUUUUCAGCGGCAUUAUCUUUCUUCUUCACUUGUAGGGGUAUGAACAAUCUCCACGGUCCAGCACCAUCGUUCCCAGGAAGGCUGUUACAGCCAGAGAUCAAAGGAAAGGCUUUUGAGUCUGGAUAACCAGGCAUGAAUCAAAGCAAGUCCUGGGCAGGGCAAAGAAGGGGAUUUCUAGACGGAGCAGAGAGAGCUUAGUCACUGGAGCGCCCCCAAGAUGGAGCCUGCACCCCGGACACCCCACAAAGGUCUGAGGGCACUGUGUCCUGGGCCCUGCAGGGACAUAGGAAAUCUGAAUAGUGAGUCUAGAUCCAGUUCAGCGUCCACCCUCCCUUCUCCACACCUCAGUGCAGGAGGAAGCAACUGAGUGAUUCUCACGGGCUGCAGCAAAGGACCAGAGCAGCCCACCCAGUACCCGAGUACCCACAGUCCACCGUGGUAUGGAACAGCAGAAAGAGACCCUCGAAUAGGCGUGACAGAAGAAGACCUGACG